AUUGAACGCUGGCGGCAGGCCUAACACAUGCAAGUCGAGCGGCAGCGGAAAGUAGCUUGCUACUUUGCCGGCGAGCGGCGGACGGGUGAGUAAUGUCUGGGAAACUGCCUGAUGGAGGGGGAUAACUACUGGAAACGGUAGCUAAUACCGCAUAACGUCGCAAGACCAAAGAGGGGGACCUUCGGGCCUCUUGCCAUCAGAUGUGCCCAGAUGGGAUUAGCUAGUAGGUGGGGUAACGGCUCACCUAGGCGACGGUCCCUAGCUGGUCUGAGAGGAGUACCAGCCACACUGGAACUGAGACACGGUCCAGACUCCUACGGGAGGCAGCAGUGGGGAAUAUUGCACAAUGGGCGCAAGCCUGAUGCAGCCAUGCCGCGUGUAUGAAGAAGGCCUUAGGGUUGUAAAGUACUUUCAGCGGGGAGGAAGGUGUUGAGGUUAAUAACCUCAGCAAUUGACGUUACCCGCAGAAGAAGCACCGGCUAACUCCGUGCCAGCCGCCGCCGUAA
rnacentral:rRNA from 1 species